AGAAACCAAGUUAAAUGUGAAUUUCAGGUAAACAAUGAAUAAUAUUUUAGUAUGAUGAUGGUCCAUACCAUAUUUGGGACAUACUUAUACCAAAACUUGACUUAUUAUUUAUCUGGGUUUCAAAUUCAACUGGGUGUC
rnacentral:miRNA from 1 species